AAAGUUGCAAAGAACUUUGAAGAGAGAGUUCAACAGGGCGUGAAACCGCUUAGAAGUAAACGGGUGGAGCUGACAUUACGCUUGCCGGAUUCAGCCGGUUUGAUGGUGGAUCGCUAGCUCGCCGAUCGCAAGACGGUGGGCUGGCGCGAUUCUCUCCGCCUAGAGCCGGUGCACUUUCGGUAGGCUGCGUCACGACCGACGAUCUGUCCGGAAAACACGCGUUUGGUUGAAGGCUAUGGUGUCUCGGCACUGCAGUAACUCGCCUUUCGCCGCUGUCCUGGCUCAAAGGUCGUCGGGAAUAGGCCGCGUCCGCUUCUUGCUCAGUACUGUGUUGCCUCGUAGUCGGUCGCUCCUAGGUGGUGUGCUUGCACGCCGCCUUAAAUCCCGGCUGCGACGGUGGUGCUUGCUGAGUGACGCAAAUGGUCUGUGGCGUCCGCGUCAGUCUCCCACCCGACCCGUCUUGAAACACGGACCAAGGAGUCUAACAUGCACGCAAGUCAUUGGGCUGUGAAACCCAUAGGCGAAAUGAAAGUAAAGGUCGCAAGACCGAGGUGAGAUCCUGGCCGUUCGCGGUCGGGCGCAUCACUGUCCCAUCGCAUCUGCUCGCCAGAGCGGUGGAGAAAGAGCGUGCAUGCUAGGACCCGAAAGAUGGUGAACUAUGCCUGAGUAGGAUGAAGCCAGAGGAAACUCUGGUGGAGGUCCGUAGCGGUUCUGACGUGCAAAUCGAUCGUCAAACUUGGGUAUAGGGGCGAAAGACUAAUCGAACCAUCUAGUAGC
rnacentral:rRNA from 1 species